rnacentral:rRNA from 1 species
CCUACGUGAGGCAGCAGUGGGGAAUAUUGGACAAUGGGGGGAACCCUGAUCCAGCGACGCCGCGUGAGUGAAGAAGUAUUUCGGUAUGUAAAGCUCUAUCAGCAGGGAAGCAAGAAAUGACGGUACCUGACUAAGAAGCCCCGGCUAAAUACGUGCCAGCAGCCGCGGUAAUACGUAGGGGGCAAGCGUUAUCCGGAUUUACUGGGUGUAAAGGGAGCGUAGACGGCGAUGCAAGUCUGAAGUGAAAGGCGGGGGCCCAACCCCUGGACUGCUUUGGAAACUGUAUGGCUGGAGUGCAGGAGAGGUAAGUGGAAUUCCUAGUGUAGCGGUGAAAUGCGUAGAUAUUAGGAGGAACACCAGUGGCGAAGGCGGCUUACUGGACUGUAACUGACGUUGAGGCUCGAAAGCGUGGGGAGCAAACAGGAUUAGAUACCCCGGUAGUC